UAAUCUCACCUCUUCGACUUUACUGUUGACCUGUGUGGAUUUGGAUGCUGCCGUGAAAUGUAAUCGGCUCAUCUGAAAUGCUUGAGUGUACCUUGUUUCUGUGGUGUAUCUGGUGUGAUAAGUCUUCAUCAGAGAACGGUCUUUGGGACCACACCGCUUUUACUGAAGUGUAUGCUUCCAACCGUCUUCACGGACAAUAUUCUGACA
rnacentral:misc_RNA from 1 species